AUCACGUUCAAACACCAGUUCCCAAACGAUUACCAAAGUUAAGCAACGUCGAGCCUGGUCAGUAUCUAGAUGGGUAUCCACUUGGGAAUACCCAAGUGCUGUAA